GUAUGGACCGAGCGUUGUCCGGAAUCAUUGGGCGUAAAGGGUACGUAGGCGGCCUAGUAAGUUAGAAGUUAAAGAAUAUAGCUCAACUAUAUAAAGCUUUUAAAACUGCUAGGCUUGAGAGAUGGAAGGGAAAGUGGAAUUCCUAGUGUAGCGGUGAAAUGCGCAGAUAUUAGGAAGAAUACCGGUGGCGAAGGCGACUUUCUGGUCAUCAUCUGACGCUGAGGUACGAAAGCGUGGGUAGCAAACAGGAUUAGAUACCCUGGUAGUCCACGCUGUAAACGAUGAGUGUUAGGUUCUUGGAAUAAUCUGGGAGCCGCAGCUAACGCAUUAAACACUCCGCCUGGGGGAGUACGCACGCAAGUGUG
rnacentral:rRNA from 1 species